rnacentral:rRNA from 1 species
UACAGAGGCCCCAAGCGUUACUGAGAAUCACUGGGUUUAAAGGGUGCGUAGGCGGCUUUGCAAGUUGGGUGUGAAAGCCCUCGGCUCAACCGAGGAAUUGCGCUCAAUACUGCCGAGCUCGAGAGAGACAGAGGUAAGCGGAACUAAUGGUGGAGCGGUGAAAUGCGUUGAUAUCAUUAGGAACACCGGUGGCGAAGGCGGCUUACUGGGUCUUUUCUGACGCUGAGGCACGAAAGCCAGGGGAGCGAACGGG